CGAUGUCCGAAUGGGGAAACCCAGUGCAAUUCGUUGCACUAUCGUUAACUGAAUACAUAGGUUAACGAGGCGAACCGGGGGAACUGAAACAUCUAAGUACCCCGAGGAAAAGAAAUCAACCGAGAUUCCCCCAGUAGCGGCGAGCGAACGGGGAGCAGCCCGGAGUCUGAAUCAGCUUGUGUGUUAGUGGAAGCGUCUGGAAAGUCGCACGGUACAGGGUGACAGUCCCGUACACGAAAAUGCACAGGUUGUGAACUCGAAGAGUAGGGCGGGACACGUGGUAUCCUGUCUGAAUAUGGGGGGACCAUCCUCCAAGGCUAAAUACUCCUGACUGACCGAUAGUGAACCAGUACCGUGAGGGAAAGGCGAAAAGAACCCCGGCGAGGGGAGUGAAAAAGAACCUGAAACCGUGUACGUACAAGCAGUGGGAGCACCUUCGGGUGUGACUGCGUACCUUUUGUAUAAUGGGUCAGCGACUUAUAUUCUGUAGCAAGGUUAACCGUAUAGGGGAGCCGCAGGGAAACCGAGUCUUAACUGGGCGUUAAGUUGCAGGGUAUAGACCCGAAACCCGGUGAUCUAGCCAUGGGCAGGUUGAAGGUUGGGUAACACUAACUGGAGGACCGAACCGACUAAUGUUGAAAAAUUAGCGGAUGACCUGUGGCUGGGGGUGAAAGGCCAAUCAAACCGGGAGAUAGCUGGUUCUCCCCGAAAGCUAUUUAGGUAGCGCCUCGUGAACUCAUCUUCGGGGGUAGAGCACUGUUUCGGCUAGGGGGCCAUCCCGGCUUACCAACCCGAUGCAAACUACGAAUACCGAAGAAUGUUAUCACGGGAGACACACGGCGGGUGCUAACGUCCGUCGUGAAGAGGGAAACAACCCAGACCGCCAGCUAAGGUCCCAAAGUCAUGGUUAAGUGGGAAACGAUGUGGGAAGGCACAGACAGCCAGGAUGUUGGCUUAGAAGCAGCCAUCAUUUAAAGAAAGCGUAAUAGCUCACUGGUCGAGUCGGCCUGCGCGGAAGAUGUAACGGGGCUAAACCAUGCACCGAAGCUGCGGCAGCGACGCUUAUGCGUUGUUGGGUAGGGGAGCGUUCUGUAAGCCGUCGAAGGUGUGCUGUGAGGCAUGCUGGAGGUAUCAGAAGUGCGAAUGCUGACAUAAGUAACGAUAAAGCGGGUGAAAAGCCCGCUCGCCGGAAGACCAAGGGUUCCUGUCCAACGUUAAUCGGGGCAGGGUGAGUCGACCCCUAAGGCGAGGCCGAAAGGCGUAGUCGAUGGGAAACAGGUUAAUAUUCCUGUACUUGGUGUUACUGCGAAGGGGGGACGGAGAAGGCUAUGUCAGCCGGGCGACGGUUGUCCCGGUUUAAGCGUGUAGGUGUGUGUUCCAGGCAAAUCCGGUUCACUUUAACACUGAGGCGUGAUGACGAGGCACUACGGUGCUGAAGUGAUAAAUGCCCUGCUUCCAGGAAAAGCCUCUAAGCAUCAGGUAACACGAAAUCGUACCCCAAACCGACACAGGUGGUCAGGUAGAGAAUACCAAGGCGCUUGAGAGAACUCGGGUGAAGGAACUAGGCAAAAUGGUGCCGUAACUUCGGGAGAAGGCACGCUGAUAUGUAGGUGAAGUCCCUGCGGACGGAGCUGAAAUCAGUCGAAGAUACCAGCUGGCUGCAACUGUUUAUUAAAAACACAGCACUGUGCAAACACGAAAGUGGACGUAUACGGUGUGACGCCUGCCCGGUGCCGGAAGGUUAAUUGAUGGGGUUAGCGGCAACGCGAAGCUCUUGAUCGAAGCCCCGGUAAACGGCGGCCGUAACUAUAACGGUCCUAAGGUAGCGAAAUUCCUUGUCGGGUAAGUUCCGACCUGCACGAAUGGCGUAAUGAUGGCCAGGCUGUCUCCACCCGAGACUCAGUGAAAUUGAACUCGCUGUGAAGAUGCAGUGUACCCGCGGCAAGACGGAAAGACCCCGUGAACCUUUACUAUAGCUUGACACUGAACACUGGUCCUUGAUGUGUAGGAUAGGUGGGAGGCUUUGAAGCGUGGACGCCAGUCUGCGUGGAGCCGUCCUUGAAAUACCACCCUUUAAUGGCUGGUGUUCUAACGU
rnacentral:rRNA from 1 species